GGAAUAUUGGACAAUGGGCGCAAGCCUGAUCCAGCCAUGCCGCGUGUGUGAAGAAGGCCUUCGGGUUGUAAAGCACUUUUGUACGGGAAGAAAAGCACACGGUUAAUAACCGGGUGUCAUGACGGUACAGUAAGAAUAAGCACCGGCUAACUUCGUGCCGGCAGCCGCGGUAAUACGAAGGGUGAAAGCGUUACUCGGAAUUACUGGGCGUAAAGCGUGCGUAGGUGGUUUGUUAAGUCUGAUGUGAAAGCCCUGGGCUCAACCUGGGAAUUGCAUUGGAUACUGGCAGUCUAGAGUGCGGUAGAGGGUAGCGGAAUUCCCGGUGUAGCAGUGAAAUGCGUAGAUAUCGGGAGGAACAUCCGUGGCGAAGGCGGCUACCUGGACCAGUACUGACGCUCAGGUGCGAAAGCGUGGGGAGCAAAC
rnacentral:rRNA from 1 species